CCGCCGCUGCUUCCGCCGCCGCCGCCGCCACCGCCGCCGCCGCCGCCUCACAGGCCUUCUCCACCGAUCGGUCCCAAAUCGACUGACUGUCUCCUGGAAGCGGGGGCGGGGACGUCAGGAGGAUCCAUUCGGCAGGGCCUCGUUCAAUCGCUUCAUUCAAAUGCAGAAAGCUCUGUGCUCAGUCUAUAUCUCCCAUGGAUUCUGACGACCUUGCCUGAUGAUGGCGGGUGAUGGGGGCAGAGAUCGAUCCUUCUGAGAAGUAAGUUGGCAAGCGCUUUAGUGAAGCCUCGUAGGAUUUACCCAGCGAAGCGAGUGCCUUCGUCCCUGGAGGCUGCGGAAAGAAUCUUCCUGCCCCUGUCUAUUGAACAAUGGGAGUCAUCUUCCAAGUGCCCUGACACCAGACACCACGGCCAUUUGCCGAAUGGACAGAACAGACUGGGGCCACGUGUGCCACCCACCCUCUUUCCGGAGGCUGUGGUCCACUGUGUUUGCAUGAAAGUCAGUGAAGGAGGCAUCUCCUUGGGACUCGGUUCCGUCCCUUUCACGAGAGCCUCCACUUUGGAUGACAGCCAGCCAGCCAGCCAGCCCUCGAUGCCAGGGCAGUAGACGACUGCCAGGAAUAUCCCAUCCUUUCUGGAACCCUGAGUGUACCCACCUGUACAGACACAAGGCUGAAGAAUACAUGACGUUCCUUCCUAGUUGACAGCACUCCCCAUGUCACUGAAACAGUGUCCAGUACGCUGACGUCAUCUCCUCCCUCUCCCACACCCCCGCACGCGCACAAACACGCGCGCGCGCGCGCGCGCACACACACACACACACACACACACACACACACACACACACACACACUCUGUCUGUCUGUCUGUCUGUCUGUCUGUCUGUCUGUCUUCUAAGGAUGGAGAAGAGUUUGCUGAGCUAUUUCGGGUGCCCUCUCAUCCUAGUUCCUAUCUCCAAGUUGGUUCAAAGUCCAAAAGGCGGUCAAGCACUUAAUCAGAUAGGUCCCUCGUAAAGAAUGCCUCCCACAUCACGACGACAGGCUUCUUAGGCCAGCCGAGAAGCUCCUUCAGUUCUGCGCCCAUCUUGGCUCUAAGUUGAUAUCAGUCUGUUACGGAAAUGACAGGCCAGCCAAGAAACAAGCACCACUCGGAGGGUUGGAGUACUCAGAUUUAUUACGCCGGCGGGCUCAGAGGGGCUUCUGCUCCGAAGCUCUGAGCACCUCCAAGACGUGCACAUGAGGUUUCAUAGGGUUAAUUACAAAUAUGGGUCUAUUCGCCAAUAAGGCUCAAACAACAAAAAGCAAAGGAUCAGUACACUGGAGCUUAUCAAUUUGGAACAGAUCACGUUACUGACACUUGUUGAGCUUGGAUUUACGAGUUAGCUUGUUAGCCCAGUAAACUGACACUAAACUUCAGAUUUACGAGUUAGCCCAGCAGAACUUAGAUCAGUAAACGGACACUUAUCACACUUAGAUUUGUGACUUUAGCUUGUUAGCCCAGCUGGGCUUUUCCUUUACAAGUCCUCCAGGAUCCAAGAAAGCCACGUUGGAAAACAAGUGGUGAUUCUGAUGGGACAGGAGAUCAGUCAUUUGGGGGCGAAGGGUGGGGUAGGGAGACAUACCAGCCAGUCUGUCUGUUUUCACCCAGUGUGGGAGCCGUCCCAAAGAGAUAACUCGAGAAGAGAGAAACAGGGAGUUGACAAAGAACACGUGCAGUGGCGUGCCCUCCCCCCCACCCCAGGAGAAGGCCAAGCCAGAAGUCCCUCCGGAUGGCGGGCUCCGGACUCCGGCUUCCAGGGGAAGCGAUUUUUUUUUCCUCCCCAUUUCAGGCCCGGAAGAAGAGGGAGAGGCAGAGUGUCCUUCUCGGGCAUCCGCUGUUUCUGAAGCACGCUUGUUGCCAAAAGUUCGGCCCCCGUCCCCGACGAGCCCAAGAAUCCAGAGACAAGGUCUUGGAGCUUAGAAGCAAAGAGGCCAUUUUAUCGCUCUGCCGGGCAAAGGGGAUUCACAGCAGGCUAGCGUCUUCAAAACUGUGUACCCACCUUGGGGAUGGAGUGGGUGGGGUGGUUCUAGAGCCAUAGCUCAAACAAUCGGGCAUCGAUCACCAUCCACAGAAUCGUUUUCUCAUCAGAAGACUCAGAAUGGUGUCACGAUGCCUCCAGGUGACCCAUUCUAUAGAGGCUGGUGGUUAGAUCUCGUUAUCUCAUAAGCACUCAAGGUGUGGCCUUCUUGGUCACUCAGGCUAUUUUGUCAGGUCACUAGUCCCGUGACCGACCUUCUCCUCGGAGAAAGACUCAGAGACCCAGCAUGAUGAUGACUUUCAAUGAGUGAAAUACAGUAGAAACAGUAAGAUCGAUAGCUUCCAGUUUCAACAACAGGCCUGGAACCGUGAGCAGCAACCAGUCAGUCAGGACAGUUGACCGUUUUCAGGGCGAGCAUAAGAAACCGAAUGACACCCCCCCCCCAGCAAAUGAA